GAUUCUGGCUCAGGAUGAACGCUGGCGGCGUGCCUAAUACAUGCAAGUCGAACGAGGUGGAUGGGAGCUUGCUCCUUGAUACCGAGUGGCGAACGGGUGAGUAACACGUAGGUAACCUGCCCUUAAGCUUGGGAUACCCAGAGGAAACUUUGGCUAAUACCGGAUAACAACAGAAGAGGCAUCUCUUCAGUUUGAAAGGCCCUUUACGGGGUCACUUAAGGAUGGACCUGCGGCGCAUUAGCUAGUUGGUGAGAUAAAAGCCCACCAAGGCGAGGAUGCGUAGCCGACCUGAGAGGGUGAUCGGCCACAUUGGAACUGAGACACGGUCCAAACUCCUACGGGAGGCAGCAGUAAGGAGUUUUCGGCAAUGGGGGAAACCCUGACCGAGCAACGCCGCGUGAGUGAUGACGGCCCUAUGGGUUGUAAAGCUCUGUUGUAAGGGACGAACUACCGUUUAGGAAAUGAAACGGUUCUGACGGUACCUUACCAGAAAGCCACGGCUAACUACGUGCCAGCAGCCGC
rnacentral:rRNA from 1 species